rnacentral:rRNA from 1 species
UNUGAUGUGAAAGCCCCCGGCUCANCCGGGGAGGGUCAUUGGAAACUGGGGAACUUGAGUGCAGAAGAGGAGAGUGGAAUNCCAUGUGUAGCGGUGAAAUGCGUAGAUAUAUGGAGGAACACCAGUGGCGAAGGCGACUCUNUGGUCUGUAACUGACGCUGAGGCUCGAAAGCGUGGGUAGCAAACAGGAUUAGAUACCCUGGUAGUNCACGCCGUAAACGAUGAGUGCUAAGUGUUGGAGGGUUUCCGCCCUUCAGUGCUGCAGUUAACGCAUUAAGCACUCCGCCUGGGGAGUACGACCGCAAGGUUGAAACUCAAAGGAAUUGACGGGGACCUGCACAAGCGGUGGAGCAUGUGGUUUAAUUCGAAGCAACGCGAAGAACCUUACCAAGUCUUGACAUCCUUUGACCACUCUAGAGAUAGAGCUUUCCCUUCGGGGACAAAGUGACAGGUGGUGCAUGGUUGUCGUCAGCUCGUGUCGUGAGAUGUUGGGUUAAGUCCCGCAACGAGCGCAACCCUUAUUACUAGUUGCCAGCAUUGAGUUGGGCACUCUAGUGAGACUGCCGGUGACAAACCGGAGGAAGGUGGGGAUGACGUCAAAUCAUCAUGCCCCUUAUGACUUGGGCUACACACGUGCUACAAUGGAUGGUACAACGAGCAGCGAACUCGCGAGGGUAAGCGAAUCUCUUAAAGCCAUUCUCAGUUCGGAUUGUAGGCUGCAACUCGCCUACAUGAAGCCGGAAUCGCUAGUAAUCGCGGAUCAGCACGCCGCGGUGAAUACGUUCCCGGGUCUUGUACACACCGCCCGUCACACCACGAGAGUUUGUAACACCCAAAGUCGGUGAGGUAACCUUUU